UUUCACCAGGAAGUAUAUUUGUUGUACAUUUGGAAAGACACUCUUUAUUCUCAGUUUGCCAAGAAACAGAACCAACAGGGAAGAAAUGUGUGUGUGUGUGUGCGUGCGUGUCUAUUGUUCAUACGAUUAUGGACGCAAACAAGUCCCACCAUCUGCCAUUUGCAAGCUAGAGAACCAGGAAAUCUGGUGGUAUAAUUCAGUUCUAGUCCAAAGGCCCGAGGAAUGAGACACCUAUGUAAGUCCUGCACUCCUAAGGCUGAGGAGUAGGAAACCUCCAAACCAUGGGCGGAGGGCAGAAGCAGACGGACGUCUCGGCUCAAGAGAAAGAAUUGGCCUUUCCUCUUUCUUUUUGUUCUAUUCAUUAUCCUCAACAGAUUGGAUAAUGCCUAUUCACACUGGACAGAAAGGACAUCGAGCACUUUCUGGAGUCCCCAGCAAUGCACCGUCUGUCGUCCGGGCCAACUGGCCAGCUGGUUCGAUCCUGGCCUUGUUGACUUCUGUUGAAUCUCACACCACCCAGGCACCUGACCAGGUGCGUCCUCGGCUCUCUUAAGUUCAAGAACUCACCUGCACUGGCGGCGCAGGCGGCCCUCGUCCCGCAGGAAGGACUUUCCCUGCGGUCACCCAACUCUAGGCGCGCACCACCGCUCAGCUUGAAAACCCCGCCUCCUACAGAAAGCGAGCAUGGGAGGGUUACUUGGCUUUGGGGACGGGGUGGGCGGAUAGCGCGGUGCUGAGCUCAGCGCUAAAGCGGCUGUUGUCCAAGAAACGAAGCGAGGGUACAGAGUUGGCUCCUGGCGCGAGCGAAAUGUCCCUGCAGCAGCACCGCUUUACCUUCCCCAGAGGAAGGAGGGACGGCCAGCGCGCAGCACCAACUCGGCCGGCUGGAGUCUGCCCGGCUGCCACCAGGGGGUGAUGCGCCCUCACCUUUCCUCGAGGAUGCCGUGGAUGCCAAGGAGGGCAGUGGGUCUAACGCGUCCCAGCCCGGAGCCUCCGCGGGGGAAGAUACCCUUGACCACCGGCACCAGGUCUCUGGUGGCCACCUGACGCUCGCGCAUUCCUUCUACGGACCCUGGGAAGUCCUGGCCCUUGGACUCAUAAUACAUCUUGGCCGUCCGAAGAUUCCAUCUGAAACAAGCUGGAAUGGUCUGAAAACUCCUCGAUGUCCUCCAGCCAGUGUAGCUGAUGCCAUCCUUUCAACCAUCCACAUUCUACUACACCUCCCUGCAGCUCCAUGAUUUCUGACACUGUGGGGAUGGAGCUCAUGCAUGCCCUGCACCCGCAUUUUGAGAGAGCCCCUCUACAGGCUGCACUGUCCUUAUUAGAUGCACAUCAGAUGGGUCUUGCUCUGUUGCCUGCGCUGGAGUACAAUAGCACAACCAUGGCUAACUGCAGCCCUCAACCUCCCAGGCUCAAGUGAUCUUCUCACCUCAGCCUCCUAAGAAGCUGGCACCACAGGGGAUGCCGUGGAACCAGCCAGGCCAGGACAAUGGAAUCCAUUCCAUCUUGUUGCUAUGGAGAGCCCACGGGCAACUACAGAAAACAUGGAGUGUCUGCCCAUCAUUUCUGGAACAUGAAUAGCCAAAGGAGAUUACUGGACUUUGCUUGCUUGAACAGAUUAUUUCUAUUGAAUUCACCAUACUGUAGCUUUGAUAAGAGCAGUGGUUCUCAAUUUUGGUGUUAGAAUCACUUGGGAGAAUUUUUAGAACCUCCAUGCCCUGACCAUUCCUUAGAACAAUUAAAUUAGAAUGUUGGGGGAAUGGAACCCAGGUUAUCAGUAAUUUUCAAAGCCCUCCGGAGAUUCCAUGUGCAACCAUUCCUCAUAGUUUUUCCCCUAAACCCUAAUAAGCGAUAUGGCACCUAUAUGACAGGCUAAUGGGCACAGGGUCCCUACCACAUCAGCCGGGGCAGAGGAAUCAUGUGGGCUGGGAACCCCAAACAUUCCCGGAGAGCCUAAACAUUAAGUAGAAUUAAAGGAGGCAGAUUCCAAGAUGUUUGCUAUGGCUCAAAUCAGAAACCAAUUUUACACAAUCAUGUAAUAAAAACUUAUAGAUUCUUGUUGAGGGCAUUCUAGGAGGGAGGUAAACUGGCCUCGGUCACAUGGAGGAGGUUGAGCCUGGGCCUUGUUCCCCAAAGCAGUUUCAUCUGGUAACCAGCUAUAAGUUUCCCUUUGGUUAUCCCCAAGCUUUCAGAAAAUUCACACCUAAUGUGUCAAUAUGCUUUGAGCUGUGCAUGGGGAAUUAGGUAAGAGUCUAAAGGUGAAUAGAUAAAAGAGAAGCAGUCACCUUGUUUAGGCCAGCACGGUGGCUAGACACUGCAGGAGGGGGUUGGCAGUGGCAUGAGCAGUGACCAGAGCCAGGCAGUGGCAGAAACACGGUGCUGUUACAGACCGACUUCAAGCCUGUGUGAACCCCUUCUGCUGCUACGACUGCCAAAGUUCCCAGUGCCUCUGAAAGUGAGGCUAGAGGUUCUGAGUGCAGAGGGAGGGGCGAAGGACAUUAUUAUUUGGACAUAAUCAUAAAAGCGACCUCAGCUAUACUCAUAAGCAAAUCAUGUUUGCCAUAUAUUGGCAAUAAUCAAAUAGUUCAAUCCCUAAUCAAAUUCCCCAUUAAAACCCCAAGUCCCACUCCCAAAUAUAAGUGUUUCUUUUGGGCUGUAAGUGUUGGAUAGAAGUCUUUAUGGUUGCUGCCGGGAAGAAAUGUUAUGAGUAGUCUCUCCAAACAACCAAACAGUCUGGGGCUCCGAGGUCCAGGACACUGGGCCAUAUAUGUAAUGUGUAUUAUAUUGGAUGGAAACCUCUUUGAAUGAAAGGCUGUUCCCUAGCUGGUGCAGUCAGGAGCAGAAAUGACCAGAUAAAGCUUGUGCUUGUCUUAAUCUAUGUUAUUUAUGAAUGAUUUUGUCUCUAGUCUCCCCAAAGAGAACAGUGGGAAAAAGCAAGGCACUAACCUCAAUUUGGCAAGUAAUAGUGUCAUUUUGAAACAUCUGUAACAUACCUGUUUACCUUUUUCAAAAUUCUCACUGACAGAAUCACACUACCCCUCUAGUCAUAAUUUGAAGCACUGUGUCUCCAUAGUGAUGAUUCAGGCUCCCGUUGCCAUGGUGAUCAUUCUAUGGGCUAAAACACUUCCAUCAAUCCUUCCCCUCAUUCUCAUUACCAUUGUCGGUUUCUCAAUCCAGGCCUUUAUUAUGUCUUUGGGAUCUAGCACUGGACCUGACAAAUAAUAGGUGGUCAGUGUAUUGAAUGAAUAGCCCGACCUAGAUUAUUAAAAUACCUCUUACCUCGUCUUUCUUGCUCCAGGCUUUGUCCCUGUGAGUUAUUAUGCCUUAUCGUUUCAUCUCAUUCAUCUGUUUUCAUUUACUGGCGCUUUUAAAUUACAGAAGGAACACUUGCUCAUUUUAGAAAACUCAAACCAUUUUAGAUACCUACGAAGCUAAAAGUAAACAUUCCUCUUCACCAAAAUAAAUUCCAGCUGGAUCAAUGAUUUAAACAUAAAAAUGAUAAAAGUUCCAAAAGAAUUUAUAAUUUGUGGUAAGAAAGGCUCCUUUAAAUAGGAACAAAAUCCGGAAGCCGUAAAGAAACAAAAUUAACAUGUUUGACCAUAUAAACAUUCCAAAACAGUGUGUGUGGGGAAAAUGCCAUAAAGAUUAAUAGCAAAAAAGGUCAAAAGAUUAAUAGCAAACUGGAAAAAAUAUAUUUGCAAAACAAAUGGUAAAAAGUUAAACUUCCUCAACUAUCAAGGAGCUUCUACAAGUCAGUAUGAAACAGAUGACCCACCAGGAGGAAAAUGGUCAAAGGCUACUAAUGUCUGCAGAAAAAGGAGCACAACUGGUCAGAAAACAAAUGACAAGAUCAAUUCAGAAUUAAAAUGAAUACAAAUAAUCAAAACGAUAAUGAAUAAAUAAGAUUUUUUCCACUUCUCUGAUGGGCAAAUGUAGAUGUUUAAUGACACCUAGUGCUGCAAGUCUAAAGGGAAAAUAAACA